rnacentral:lncRNA from 1 species
AAUCCAACAGGACCCACUCGAGCCAUCCACACUUGCCCCAGCCUCCUCCAAAACAGCACACUUUCCGAGAGACCGAGGGGCUCACUAGGUUGACCAGGCUGGUCUUGAACUCCUGGCCUCAAGCCAUCCUCCCACCUCAGCCUCCCAAAGUGCUGGGAUUACAUGCAUGAGCCACCACAUCCAGCCUACCUAAAAUAUUGAAUGCUGUUAAUAAAUCUCCUGAGGCCAGCAUAAGAAGGUGAUGGGCAAAACUAAUGCAGGGUUUCAGUUGUGCAAUUUCACCAUUAGCAAAGCUUUUUGCUGAAAUCUGGCUUUUCAAAGGGAGAGUAUCCAGAAACAGAAGAUGCUGCUCUGAGAGGCUCUUCCUAAUAGAACUGCUGCUUCAGUUUAGCUUGAAAAAGCCCACACCCAGUUCCUAAUGACAAACAUCUGAACACCGGGUCUUCCCACGAGCAAGACCAUGCUAUGCCUCCUGCUCGCUCUGUUCUAUAAGCAACCCACAGAUUGCUCCCUGUGAAGAGGAGCCUGCCAGGGGAGCAGCAUUCCACCAGACCCUGAUUUAGCAAG